rnacentral:tRNA from 1 species
GCUGAUGUAGCUCAGCCGGCAGAGCAGCUGAUUCGUAAUCAGCAGGUCGAGGGUUCAAAUCCCUCCAUCAGCUCCA